AACAGGAUCCGCAGCGUGAACGGGAGCCAGCUGAAGGCCUACCUUUCCUUGGAAGUGUUGGAUCUGAGUUCGAAUAAUAUCACGGAAAUCCGGAGCGGCUGCUUUCCCCCUGGACUGUACAUAAGAGAGCUGGCUCGAGGGGAGGCAGGACAUCAUGGAGAAAGAAUGUGGUGGAGGGAAGCAGCUCACAUGGUGAUCAGGAAGCAGAGAGAGACUCCACUCUCCAGAGACAAAUAGAGACCCCAAAGCCAUGCCCCCUCCACCAGCCUCCAGCCACCACCCAGUUAAUCCCAUCAGGAAUUCAUUCACUGGUUGGGUUAAGGCUCUCACAACCCAGUCAUUUCUCCUGGACCUUCUUGCACCAUCUCACAGGUGAGUUUUUGGGGGAUACCUCACAUCCAAACCAUAACAAUUUUUCAGCCCUGGGGUUGGUGCAAGGCAGGAGGGAUUGGCCUCUGAUGCCCACUGAUGGAACCUUUCCAGUCCCGUAGUAUUCGUCUGUGUUACACCCAAGGUGGACACCUUGGGCAGGGAGAGGUGGACUCGCCUGUCCAGGAAGCUCACCCCUCAGACAGAAGAGUUCAAGACUCUGAGGUCUGCCCUGACCACAAAGCCUGCUUUUACUCCCAUUUACUGGGCUGCUUCCCAUCAGAGCUUGGAGAGAAGGCUCAGGGGAGCUUAGAGGCCCACACUGCAGAGAGAGUGCUUUGCAGACUCUCCAGGCUCUUUCUUCCUAGCGUCGCACAGUGAUCAGACAGCUCACGGGAUCUGUCUGGGAAGGCGGCUCCUGGUUCUGUGUGUUCUCAGGACUGUGCUGAUGUGUCUCUUACCCGUGUUCGAGCCCCAUCUUACCUGCGGUGUGGAUGGUAGACAGGAGUAAAAAUGAUAAAACCUGCAGCACCCACGGCCUGUGGGUAGGAAAGUGUUGCUCUGGGGAAGAAUCUGAAGAGACAUUUCCAAAUCUGAGUGAGUUUCCAUUCCCUUUGUCAUCACUGUUUUGGAGUCAUUUUGGAGCUCAUUUGUGAGUCCUGUUUAGAGGUAGUCAUGACCCAUCUCUUCAGGGAAGAUGAACCUUAGCCCUUAGAUUUUCCAAGUCAUUCUCAGGCUGCAUCAAGGUGCUGAAAUCGGGAACAGGAGGCCUUGGCCUUUGUUAAGCCUCAAGUGGAGCCUGUCCCGAGGUGUCCAGCUGCUGCCCGACACUCCCUUGCUCAGAACCAAGAAAUCACCACUGCUAAAUGGAAUUGCACUGACCUUCUGUCCCUGCAAGAAAGCAGGAGGGAUUUUCUCUUUUGGCAGCUUGUGGCUGCUCUAUCUUCAUCCCAGAGGCUGUUCUCUAAUCUGGAAUGUCAAGAACAAACAGUCCAGCCCCAUUUUUAGAGAAUCCUCAUGUGCCCUGUGCUGGGGGCUCUGCCUGGUAAAGAAUCCAGAGGAGCCUUGUUCCUUCCCCCCAGGGUAGAAGAAUCCCUGGGCUUUCUCCUUUUCACUUAGGUGCUGUUUUUUGUUUGUUGUUGUUUUGUUUUGUUUAAAAAAAAAAAAAAAACACCAAAAUUUUGUCUAGGAAAAGCAGUAAGAAGGGUGUUGAGGGGUAACUUCUCAUAGGAAUACUGAUUUAUUUUAUACCCUUUAUUUUUUCCCUUUUCUUUUCCACUGCUUGCUAUGCUUUGCACACUGUGACACACAUAUCUGUGUUGUACACUGCAGUCCAUCUGCUCGGUAUGGUCAAAGGAGAUGGCCCUGAAAAAGUAUUGCUUGUCUUUUUUUGGCAGGGGCAGGGGUACCAGGGAUUGAACCAGGGGCGCUUAACCACUGAGCCCCAUCCCCAGCCCUAUUUUGUAUUUUAUUUAGAGACAGGGUCUCACUGAGUUGCUUAGGACCUCGCUUUUGCUGAGGCUGGCUUUGAACUCUCGUUCCUCCUGCUUCAGCCUCCCGUGCUACUGUUAUUACAGGCGUGGUAUGGCUUGCUUUUUAAAGAACUUGGCUUAGGUCUCUUUAACUAGAGGGUUUCUUUCAGGUAUUUAAAAUCAUUUUAAGGAAUUAGCUUGUACACACUUAUUAUGUAAGUCCAAAAAUGAGACCUACUUCAGGAUUAAAGACAGAUUCCCCAAAUCGUGGAAUGGAAUCUGACCUGGCCUCUGAGCUGACUUUGUGCUUUGUGUAGGGCUUUUCUCGGUUGGCCUAGGGUGGCAGGCCAGGUGUGGCCCGAGGUUGGCAGGUUUGCAGCAGGGCUGGGGGUGGAGGUGUCUGAUGGUCAUUCCUGCCUUCUUGGGCCCACUAGCCACAGGUGCUGUGUGCUCUGGGCUGAGUGGAGGUUGACCUUGGACAGUCUUGCCACCUGCAGUGGCAGGGCAGGCUCUGAAGCCUCAUGAUGACAGACGUCUCCUCAGGAAACCUGUCCUUCUGGGUGUGUCUUAGCGUGUUUUCCCAGCUCGGAUCCUGCUAGGUCUGGUGUCUGUAACAGAACGAGGAAGGCCUCCUAUGGCUGUGACAUUUUCUCUCCUGACUCAUUCCAGCAACCUGGCCAGCAAUCACAUUGGCACCCUGGAGUUGGGAGCAUUCGAUGGCCUGUCACGCUCACUGCUUUUUCUUCACCUGAGCAAAAACAGGAUCACCCAGCUUCCUAUAAAAGCAUUCAAGUUACCCAGGCUGACACAACUGUGAGUACAGAAACCAGCACUUUAAUUAAGGUUAUAGCCCAAUUUUAUGGGGGCCAAACUUCCCCAAGGACCUAGUACCAAAUGCAACACCUACUCCCUCACCCGCCCCAAGUAAAGUUCUGCAUGAACCUUAAUUAAUGCCCCUAUGGCAACACCUAGUAAAAGCAGAUUGGAGCUGGGUCUGGUGCCGGUGGCCCACCUCAUCUUGCAGGGAUGAGAUCCACUGAGUAUGGGUCCAUGCUGGUGUCCUCCUUGAUGACAUGAGGAAUCCUGCUGGUUAGCUAACGUGGCUAGUGCUUAGGCUGCAUGCAUUCUGUUUAUUUAUCUCAGAGAUUUUAGUGUUGUUUUUAAAGGUACCCGUAAAAUAUGUACCUCAGGCUUGAUGGUAUCCUUGACAUUUCUUGAAUUUAGCAGGAAGUUAGCAUGGCUAGAGGCGGUAAGCAGGAGAUGGCAAUCUUUAUCUCCUAAAUCUUACAAGGUGGUUGAUUUAUGAUUGUCUCUUGCUUUUUUUUCUUUUUGGUACCGGGGAUUGAACUCAGGGGCACUCGACCACUGAGCCACCUCCCCAGCCAUAUUUUGUAUUUUAUUUAGAGACAGAGUCUCAUUGAGUUGCUUAGGGCCUCUCUGAGUUGCUGAGGCUGGCUCUGAACUCACAAUCCUCCCACGCCACUGGGAUUAUAGCCCUGUGCCACCACGCCUGGCUCUUGAUUGAUUGAUUGAUUGAUUUUCGGCUUCUUUUUAUUAUUGGAAGAGUAAAUAUCAGGAAAACAAGCCAGUAGUGGAAAUUUGGUUUAAAUUGAUGAGAACAGUUGUUGAGGCUCAGCAGGGUGUGGAUCCUGGGCUGUCUGCGGAGAAGGUCUCCAUGAUGCUGAGGAGGUUGGGUCACGAGAUGCUGCAGAAAUACUUCGGGGAAACCAGGGCUUUCCCAUUAGCUCCGUGUGUCCUUCCCUGCCCCUCCAGGCCACCCAGAGUCCUUUCGGUCCCCCAAGGCUCUCUAGUACUAGAGCCAGCAGAUGAAUGUGUGUGCUUCAUGGGGUGUCCCCCACUGCUCUUGCUCACUCUGCCCCAUACAUGGAGAUCCCGACAGAUGCCCUGACUGCAAAUGUUCUUGCAUUUGAUACCCGCUGGCUCACUGGCUGGGAAACUCGACAUGGUGUGUGUGUGUGUGUGUGUGUGUGUGUGUGUGUAUGGAAUGUGCACAGGGAGGCUCUGAGCCUGUGGGCUUCUUCUCUUCAGGGACCUUGAUCGGAAUCAGAUUCAGUUGAUCCAGGGCCUCACGUUCCAGGGCCUGGACAGCUUAGAGGUGCUGAAGCUCCAGAGAAACAACAUCAGCAAGCUGACUGAUGGUGCUUUCUGGGGGUUGUCCAAUAUGCAUGUGCUGUAAGUGUGGGCGGGCCCUGGCAGGGCUCCAGCCCAAGGGUGAGGCCGUGGCCUCUGCACCCUGCCUCUGUGGGGAGUGGGGCAGCCUGUGUGUGUCCAUUCAGCUGAGCACUAGGUGGAGAGCAGGCCACCUUUCCUUUUUCUUUCUUUUUUGUUUUUUUUUUUCUUUUGGUACCAGGGAUUGUACUUGACCCCUGAUCCCCAUCCCCAGCCCUAUUUUGUAUUUUAUUUAGAGACAGGGUCUCACUGAGUAGCUGAGCGCAUCACUUUUGCUGAGGCUGGCUUUGAACUCAUUAUCCUCCUGCCUCAGCCUCCUGAGCUGCCUCGAUGACAGUCU